rnacentral:lncRNA from 1 species
CAAUUAGUGUAUUAUAUGUCCCUGUUACAAUAUUUUCUGUGUACAAUCAACCACAAGUAGGAUGGCGGAAGUGUAAGUAAUAUUGAUAAAUCAUUUAAUAUCAUAUAUAUUGUCACUAUAAAACAAUACAUAUGACUGAAAAAUUAACCAAAAUAUGAGUUCACAAAAGGAACUACAAGGUCAAAGCAUACAGUGAAAAACAUACAACUGUAUUUUGAAAUUAAAACAUCUCAUUAAAUUCAAUGAAAACUUGACAAAGUUAUUGAUGUCUGAAAAUACUUGAACAACAGUUUGACCAUAAAUUCUAUCUACAUAAUAGUAAUUAAAAUCAUCAUAUAUACCAGGAUUAAAUUUCGUAUUUAUACGCACACUUCUUCUACAACAGACUCAGCAGUGACGCUCGAAUCCCUAAAAAUUAAACAGGCCAAAUAAAGUCCGAAGUUGAAGAGCAUUAAGGACCAAAUUCCUAAAAGUUUGGCCAAUUACAGCUAAGUUUAUCUUUUCCUGAGGUAGAAAAAACUUAGUAUUUCAAAUAUUCAAAAGUUUUGUACAGAGUUAAUUUAUAAAUAUGACCAUAUCAAUGAUAAUUCAUGUCAGCACAGCACGGAAAAAAGUAAAAUCACAAAAAUACUGAACUCCGAGGAAAAUUCAAAUAAGAAAGUCCCUAAUCACAUGACAAAAUCAAAUGACAAAACACAUCCAACGAAUGGACAACUGUCAUAUUCCUGACUUGGUACAGGCAUUUUUAAAUGUAGAAAACGGUGGAUUGAACCUGGUUUAAUAGCGCUAAACCUCUCACUGGUACGACAGUCGCAUCAAAUUUAAUAAUAUUGGUAAUGCUGUGUGAACAAAACAAACAGACACAAUAGGUAAAAAUGUCACAAAUAAAGGUAAAAAGUCUAAUUCGGUAGGUCACACUCGUGAAAAGGGAACGGGACUGCAGUCACGACACAAGGAUCACAUCCGACAUCUUCUACGAAUGCAGACAUCAUCUGACUACUGGGCUGUGGAUACCACCGGGGAAUUAAAACUCUACCGGUCCAUCGGAUUGCAGUAUCAGUAUGUCUCGCUUCCGUGACACAGAAUCUCAAGCUCGACAAAAAUGCAAGAUUGAUCCGAGUCCUGUUUAUGAGAAAAAAUGAAGUGAUUAGAAGUUAAACGAUCUAGAAACGAUUAAAUUUUCGGACAAUAUCAUGGCUUUCUACGUAGAUAUGCGCGUGAAUGUAUUUUAGUUUAUUAUGACAAUGUCGCUUUACUUUCGCCGAACCAGCUAGAAGCGUAGUUUAAGGUGAUUUCUUGUUCUUAAAUAGGUUAAAGUGUUCCUGUUUUUUUUUUAAUUACAAUUAGUAGUCACUAUACACUUAUAUAUAUAGCAAACUUAGUAGACCAUAUUCCGUUUUUACAAAUUGUUCAUAUGUGUGUGCAUACAUUCUCUUCUUUUAAACUAUGGUAGGUAUAGUUGUCUCAUUGACAAUCAUACAACAUUUCCUUAUUUUUAUAUAUUAACAAGCUCUAGUGUUCAAUUUAUGAAAGAGUGGAAAGCUGCAAAUAAUCUUUCAAGUCGGUGUUUCGAAUAAGCAUCAAUUCACGCUUUGACACAACACGGACACAUUCGAAGAGGUUUGUUUUUACUAUUAAAAAAACCAAGUUAUAGUUAUUCCUUUUUGUUUUUUUAAACAUACGCAUCUUAUUUUUAUUUUUUCAGAGGUACCUAUUUAGUUGUAACGAAAUCGCACUUUGACAACCGCUUUCACAUAGUAGCAUUUGAUGGUCAGAAACUUUUUGAUAUUAACCUGCAAGAUGAUUAUGUGAACGCUAUACAACCGGGUAAAAUAUAUCAAUUUAAUGUUAUGUAUCCAACUUCAAUCGCAGCAAAGACAAAUAGUGUGCAAGGGCAACCAAAGCCCAUUAAAAUGCCUCCAUUUGGUAUGUUCUGUGCGCUCGGAAAAUUGGCUUACACUGCUUUUAAUGAUAUGUUUAAGGUGUCACCCGAAGAACCAUAUCUAGACGUCGGAACUAAUAUACCUCCACCAAAAGCGUAUCUUUGCCAAGGAGACCGCAUAAAGAAACAACUAAUGUCUGAUGGUAAAACUAGAUGUCUUAUCAAGAUAGAUAGCAGGGAAAUGAACCUGCAGUAUGCUGGAUAUGGCAUAAAUGGUGUCCAUUUGGAUAGCUUUGAUGGAUUACCUAUCGAGUAUGAUCCGGACUUAGCAUGGCGCACAUAUACACUCAUACUCCUUAUUGCAGAUUCAAUUACCGGCGCAUGGUAUGGACCAAGAAAUUACAUCAUUGUGGGCGCAAUAUUUUAGUUUUAUAACACCUAGGAAAACAUUUUAAAAUAUCUUAAUUCAUUUAAAAGAAAAUUUAUUAUUUGAUUACAUUUGAUAUAAUCAUGUUUAUUAUUUAUUUUGAUAUAACAUAGAUGUAAGGCAAUCUCUCC